rnacentral:rRNA from 1 species
UGGGGAAUUUUGGACAAUGGGGGCAACCCUGAUCCAGCCAUCCCGCGUGGAGGAUGAAGGGUCUAUGACUUGUAAACUCCUGUAAAGAAGGAAAAAAUUCCCAUUUGAUGGGAGAUGAUGGUACUUCUGGAGUAAGCCCCGGCUAACUCCGUGCCAGCAGCCGCGGUAAUACGGAGGAUCCGAGCGUUAUCCGGAUUUAUUGGGUUUAAAGGGUGCGCAGGCGGGAUGUUAAGUCGGCGGUGAAAUUUUGCAGCUCAACUGUAAAAGUGCCU